UACAGAGGUCUGCAAGCGUUGUUCGGAUUCAUUGGGCGUAAAGGGGUGCGAGUAGGCGGCGCGGUAAGUCGGGUGUGAAAUCUCGGAGCUUAACUCCGAAACUGCAUUCGAUACUGCCGUGCUUGAGGACUGGAGAGGAGACUGGAAUUUACGGUGUAGCGGUGAAAUGCGUAGAUAAUCGUAAGGAAGACCAGUGGCGAAGGCGGGUCGUCU
rnacentral:rRNA from 1 species